AACGAACGCUGGCGGCAGGCCUAACACAUGCAAGUCGAGCGAGGACUUCGGUCCUAGCGGCGGACGAGCGAGUAACGCGUGGGAACGUGCCCCUUGGUACGGAAUAGCCCCGGGAAACUGGGAGUAAUACCGUAUGAGCUCUUCGGAGGAAAGAUUUAUCGCCAAGGGAUCGGCCCGCGUUGGGUUAGGUAGUUGGUGGGGUAAUGGCCUACCAAGCCGACGAUCCCUAGCUGGUUUGAGUGGAUUAUCAGCCACACUGGGACGGAGACACGGCCCAUACUCCUACGGGAGGCAGCAGUCGGGAAUCUUAGACAAUGGGCGCAAGCCUGAUCUAGCCAUGCCGCGUGAGCGAUGAAGGCCUUAGGGUUGUAAAGCUCUUUCAACUGGGAAGAUAAUGACUGUACCAGCAGAAGAAGCCCCGGCUAACUCCGUGCCAGCCGCCGCAGUAA
rnacentral:rRNA from 1 species